rnacentral:lncRNA from 1 species
AGUCUUGAUUAAGACCAGGAGUACACAGCGGAGCACCACCAACUGUCCAAAGAAAGGACCUCUCUAGGCGGUUGCAAGGCGAGAUCUCCAGGUCACGUUGUUACAAACAAACAAACAACAAACAAACAAAAGGUAUGUGUGGGGCAUGGUACAGAACAACGUGUAGCACGUGUUCGUUUUUGUGGGAGAACAGCACAAGUAGAAUGUACUUACAUACCCUAUUUUCUGUUUUUGUACUGGUAACAGACACCCAACCCACACAAACCCCCACGGCCUGUAGGGGGCGCAGAAAGACAGAGUACUGUAGAAGGAAGGGCAGAGCAAGUUUUCCACAGCACGCUUUUAAACGUAGUCAUCUUGCUUCUCGAACCAUGACUUGUGCUAGUCACACAGAAUUCGUGCAGACCUUCAGCACAGUUUACCAGGAACGCGUCCUCACCCAGAUGGAGAAGUCAGAUGGGACAAGGCUCCAGGAGCCCUCUCAGCUCUGCCCAAGUCGCCCCCCUUCCUGA